rnacentral:snoRNA from 1 species
AAGCAGAUGGUUAUCCCUUUCUUGUCUGGUUAUGUGGCUUUAGAGGGAGUUGGUCUGCAAAAUUAUCAAGAGGAAGCCUUCACAGUCCAGCAUACUUCCAUUGAAUGGUGGACUUUGGCCUGCUCUACAUUA